ensembl:lncRNA
AGAGAGAGAGGGAGGGAGAAACAGAGAGAGAGAGAGAGGGUGAGAAACAGAGAGAGAGAGGGUGAGAAACAGAGAGAGAGAGAGAGAGAGAGGAGAGGGUGAGAAACAGAGAGAGAGAGGGUGAGAAACAGAGAGAGAGAGGGAGAAACAGAGAGAGAGAGAGAGAGGGUGAGAAACAGAGAGAGAGAGAAACAGAGAGAGAGAGAGGGAGAGAGAAACAGAGAGAGAGGGAGAGGGAGAAACAGAGAGAGAGAGAGGGUGAGAAACAGAGAGAGAGAGGGAGAAACAGAGAGAGAGAGAGAGAGAGAGAGGGAGAGUGAGAAACAGAGAGAGAGAGAGGGUGAGAAACAGAGCGAGAGAGAGAGGGUGAGAAACAGAGAGAGAGGGAGGGUGAAAAACAGAGAGAGAGAGGGAGAAACAGAGAGAGAGAGAGAGGGAGAAACAGAGAGAGAGAGGGAGAAACAGAGAGAGAGAGGGAGAGAGAGAGGGAGAAAGAAACAGAGAGAGAGAGAGAGGGAGAAACAGAGAGAGAGAGAUGGUGAGAAACGGAGAGAGAGGGAGAGUGAGAAACAGAGAGAGAGAGAGGGUGAGCAACAGAGAGAGAGAGAGGGUGAGAAACAGAGAGAGAGGGAGGGUGAGAAACAGAGAGAGAGAGGGAGAAACAGAGAGAGAGAGUGAGAAACAGAGAGAGAGAGGGAGAAACAGAGUGAGAGAGAGGGUGAGAAACAGAGAGUGAGAGAGAGGGUGAGAAACAGAGAGAGCGAGGGAGGGAGAAACAGAGAGAGAGGGAGAGGGUGAGAAACAGAGAGAGAGAGAGGGUGAGAAACAGAG